rnacentral:guide_RNA from 1 species
AUAAUUAAAUCACAUGACGGCAGGUAAUAUGGCACUGUAAAUGAUAUCAU